AUUUCUGCUGCCGCUGGGUCUCUGUUGGUUUUAGCUACAGUCGUGAUGUGCUGCAUCUGCUGGAAAUGUAGAAAAACAGUCCGGACACAAGAGGAAGAAAGAACUGAAUCAGCAUUGUUUAAACCAACAACACGAAAAAAAAAAUCAAAGGAGGG